rnacentral:rRNA from 1 species
CAAUACUUCCUCAUCUUCGUAAGACUACCCGCUGAACUUAAGCAUAUCAAUAAGCGGAGGAAAAGAAACCAACAGGGAUUGCCUCAGUAACGGCGAGUGAAGCGGCAAAAGCUCAAAUUUGAAAUCCCCCGGGAAUUGUAAUUUGAAGGUGGCCUCAGUUAGUCCAAACAUUCUUAAGUCCAUUGGAAAAUGGCGCCAUGGAGGGUGAUAGCCCCGUAAAGAUGUCGUUUGUUCUAUUUUCUCUGGCCACCAAAGAGUCGAGUUGUUUGGGAAUGCAGCUCUAAGUGGGUGGUAAAUUCCAUCUAAAGCUAAAUAUUGGCGAGAGACCGAUAGCGAACAAGUACAGUGAUGGAAAGAUGAAAAGCACUUUGAAAAGAGAGUGAAAAAGUACGUGAAAUUGUUGAAAGGGAAGGGCUUGCAAGCAGACACAACCUCGUGUUGGGCCAGCAUCGGGGCGAGAGGAAGUAAAAACGAUUUGGAAAUGUAACUUUCGAGUAUUAUAGACCUUAUCCCUCCCUUCCAUCUCAUCCCGAGGCCUG